rnacentral:ncRNA from 1 species
GGAUGGGCACUCUAGGGGGACUGCCAGGGAGAACCUGGAGGAAGGUGGGGAUGACGUCAAAUCAUCAUGCCCCUUAUGACUUGGGCUACACACGUGCUACAAUGGCGUAAACAAAGGGAAGCGAGAGGGUGACCUUAAGCAAAUCCCAAAAAUAACGUCCCAGUUCGGAUUGCAGUCUGCAACUCGACUGCAUGAAGCCGGAAUCGCUAGUAAUCGCGGAUCAGAAUGCCGCGGUGAAUACGUUCCCGGGUCUUGUACACACCGCCCGUCACACCAUGGGAGUUGGCAACGCCCGAAGUCAGUGACCCAACCGCAAGGAGGGAGCUGCCGAAGGCGGGGCUGAUAACUGGGGUGAAGUCGUAACAAGGUAGCCGUAUCGGAAGGUGCGGCUGGAUCACCUCCUUU